rnacentral:snRNA from 1 species
ACGGUCAGACAUAUGCUUGUCAUUAUUGUUU